rnacentral:rRNA from 1 species
CUGCACUUCGGGAUAAGCCUGGGAAACUGGGUCUAAUACCGGAUAGGACGAUGGUUUGGAUGCCAUUGUGGAAAGUUUUUCGGUGUAGGAUGAGCUCGCGGCCUAUCAGCUUGUUGGUGGGGUAAUGGCCUACCAAGGCGGCGACGGGUAGCCGGCCUGAGAGGGUGGACGGCCACAUUGGGACUGAGAUACGGCCCAG